CCACCAUCUUUACCAUUUCCUUUCCCACCUUUGCCUCCUUUAUUUCCUUCACCUCCAAGUCCAUCUCAACCAUCUGCACCACCUCCGCCACCCCCAUUUAGUCUCAGUGAUCCAAGGACCUGGAUACCCUAUGUUUCUCCAUUUUCUCCUCCACCGCCUCCGCCAUCAUCACCACCUCCAUUCAGUCUCAGCGAUCCAAGAACCUGGAUACCCCAUCUUCCUCCAUUUUCCCCUCCCCCACCUCCUGCUUUCGAUCCCCGAGACCCGAGAACCUGGAUUCCUAAUAUCCCUCCAUUUUCUCCUUCCCCACCUCCUGCAUUUGAUCCUAGAGACCCCAGAACAUGGAUUCCCCGUAUUCCUCCAUUUUUCCCUCCCCCACCUCCAUCAUUCGACCUUAGAGACCCCAGAACAUGGAUACCCCAUUUGCCACCAUCCCCUCCACAAGGCCCUCAAAAUCAAAAACCCUAAUAUUGUGCUUUGUUUUCCCUCCUCUUUACCACUACAAAUUUUCUUUCAAUAUGAUAUUGUUUGAUAUGUGCUUAUGUAUUUUUCCGGUGCCCUGUCCAUUCGGAAAAACAACAAACACCUUGUGUGCCAAUAUAAUUCAUGUACAGAAAACAAAAGGGGAUUUGUCUGUUAUUAAUAUGAUAAAUCAAGAAGCUGGAUAUCAUCAAUGUAUUAUUUCAUUAAUCUUCAAAUUUGCAAGAAAAGUUUACAUUCUUAAGUCUUUAGAGAAUGAUACUAAAAGGAAAAGAAAGAAACUCAUAGACCGUCAGUAC
rnacentral:lncRNA from 1 species